AUAUCUCUCCGUACGGGAAGGAUGAGAAGCUUCGACUAAGGUUCGAUUCGAGCGAAAGCGAGAAAGCGUUGCCAACGGC
rnacentral:sRNA from 2 species